ensembl:misc_RNA
UGGACAGCCCUAGAGACUUCAGUCCUCUGCUUAAUCGCAGAACAGGUACAGCAUCGGUAGUGACAGUGCAAGCUGCUGCCCAGAGCCUCACUAAAAUGUGUCAGAAUUGUGACCUGGGACCAUCUUGAGAGCUGGGAAUGGAACCCAAGGCCUAAUCUACAUCUCACACUAGGUCCA